CUACGUGCCAGCAGCCGCGGUAAUACGGAAGGUCCAGGCGUUAUCCGGAUUUAUUGGGUUUAAAGGGAGCGUAGGCGGAUUGUUAAGUCAGCGGUUAAAGGGUGUGGCUCAACCAUACAUUGCCGUUGAAACUGGCGAUCUUGAGUGCAGACAAGGAUGCCGGAAUUCGUGGUGUAGCGGUGAAAUGCUUAGAUAUCACGAAGAACUCCGAUCGCGAAGGCAGGUGUCCGGGCUGCAACUGACGCUGAGGCUCGAAAGUGUGGGUAUCAAACAGGAUUAGAUACCCUGGUAGUCCACACAGUAAACGAUGAUUACUAGGAGUUUGCGAUAUACCGUCAAGCUUCCACAGCGAAAGCGUUAAGUAAUCCACCUGGGGAGUACGCCGGCAACGGUGAAACUCAAAGGAAUUGACGGGGGCCCGCACAAGCGGAGGAACAUGUGGUUUAAUUCGAUGAUACGCGAGGAACCUUACCCGGGAUUGAA
rnacentral:rRNA from 1 species